GGGCAGGCUUCUGGAGCUUUCUAUCCAAACUGGCACCACAGGGGAGGCAGGCUUCGGUCUCCCUGAAGCCAGAGCUGGCAGCUGGGGCUCAGGUUUUGGAGGGUGUAUGUGGAGAACACGCGCACGUGUGUAUGUGUGUGUGUGUGUGUAGCACACGGGUGUGCCUACACACGUGUGUGUUGCACACACCUGCCACUGCUUUGUGAGGGCACAUUUAACCGAGCCCCUGGCUGUGGGCCUGCAUCCACCUGCCGAUAAGUGAGCGCAUGUGCUUGAAUGUACACACAGGUCGUGCGUGUGCCGUGUGUGUGCAUGUGUCCCGGGGGGAUCAGCUGUGACUCACGAGAAGGUGGUGACAAGGACACCGCGGGUCCCGCGCGGAUGCAGCCCAGGCACGAGCAGCCAGGCAGGCGCUGAGUUCAGGGUGGUGCCUUGACGGGGCCAUUUUCUCGGUGGGAGAAUCGGCUCAUUUCCUGCAAGGAGGAGGGUGGGACUGGUGGCCUGUCACCUGCGAGGCCCCGCACUUGCCAGGACAGCUGGCCACGCUGUCCGAGGCACAACUCGUGGGCUGUCACAAGUCACCACUGCGAGGAAAGCCAGUCCCUGCGGAGGCCCUGGUGCUGGCCGUGGCCGCCUCGGGAAGGGGACAGGUGGACGGGCUUGGCCAGGACCGAUCCAGACCCGGCCGAGAGCACUGGUUCCGACCCUGCCAGCAGGCGUGACCCGAGGGUGUGUCCUGCGUCCUGGGGCUGCUGCCCGCCUGGGAAAACAAAAAGGCCACUGCGAGCCCUGCCCUCUGAACACCCGCCCCUUCCACACCAGUAGCCCUGCGGACCAUGGAGGUGCCUCGGGAUCCCCCCGGCAGGGCGGCUGCGGGCGGUGGAGAGACUGGGUGCCGCAGCUCCUGUCCUGAGCGGGGAGCACACAGGCUGGGUUUCCUCCACCGUGAAGGGUGAAAAGUGGAAACGCCUUGUUUGCGGGCCUCACAGUAGCUGGAUCUUCCCUCUCCCCCUGCUUCCCGAGUAACCCACCUGCCCAGUGGCUGAGCCUCCCAGACUUCGGCGACACGGCCCCUGGGACUCGGGGCUGUGGAUGGGCCAUUGCAGGAGAACCCUGGGGCCAGGGCACUGAGGGGUCGGUAGGGAGGGAGGGCUGGGUUUCCGUUCUUUCUUCCUUUUUUGUGUGUGUGUCUUUUUAGGGCCGCGCCUGUGACAUAUGGAAGCUCCCAGGCUGGGGGCUCAGGACCUCGUCCAGAGGAAGCAGGGACUCUUUCCACAGAGCUUUGCCUCCAGCAGCCCGGCCGUUCCAGUCAACUCACCCCCGACAGUGUCACGGAGCACCUGCCUGCCACCUGGGCCGUCCAGGUGCCACCUGGUCACCCUGCCUGUAGGCAGAGGGAACCAGCGAGGCUCAGGACGUGCGAUCCACAGAGCAAGGGACAGCUCUGUCCCUGGCACUGCCCCCUGAUCCCCCGGUCACGGCCCCUCCGGUCUCUGGGUGGGAAAAACGCGCGUGAGCUCUGUCCCCAGCCGUGGUGGGCUUCUGCCCUCUGCCCUAAUCCUCCCGCCAGCGUUCGAGGGAGCCUCGUGCAGCCCUGCGACCCGGCCUUUGCUGCGCCGCGGGCCCUGCAGGACCGGCUCCAGCGCGGCGGCUCGUGCGGAGGGAGCAUGCGGAGGAGGCCGGGCCCCUCUGGGAGCCUGCGGUGCUAAUGAACGGCUGGGAACAUCCCAAGCCUGGGGGUUCCUGUCCCCACACCGGCAGAUCAGAAACACGCCUAAAAGCCCGGUUUGAUCCAUUUCCAGGACGCCAGCCCCGAGCGAAGCAGAGGAGAGGUUGAAAGGCGGCAGCACGACUGAUCUGCUCGUGUUUAUUUUCACACGCUCUGUGGUUUGGGAACAGGCUUUGACGAGCUGUCACUCCUCUGUCCUUCUCUUCUCCCGGUCUCUUCCUUUGUCGUUGUCCGACUCCCCGGGAGGUUAAUUCCGGAAUCUCAGGACAAUGCCCCCAGCAGAGAUGUCCUUUGUGUCAACGUCCACCCGUGAACCCAGAGAGCUGACCCCCGUGUGGCCCGACUGGCAGCCCCCAGGAGGCCCUGGGACAGGAGCCAGGACUCCACUAGGCGUGGAGGGGCCGUUGGCCUGGUCAGCGGUCACUGAUGGCGCUUGCAGGGCCCUGGGCCGGAUGUGGCGACGGUAGCACAGCGGUGGCGCCCCCACUGCCCCCAGGAGCUCACACCAGGCUGGCGGGAGGCCACUGGGGUCCAGCCUCUGAGGCUCCCCGAGACCCACACCCCAGGGUAUCUGAGGGCUCCAGCUGCCCUUGUGCCCCCCAGGAGGGGCGCCUGGGGCACUGGUAACCUCCUGGACCCCGUUGCCCUCCUUCUCGCGCAGGUGCCCACUGUCCCCAGGACUCCGUGAAAUCAAACAAACAAGCCAGCUUCUCCCGGGUCCCAAGCCUCUCCCAUCCUUGUUAAUAUUCCUUUCCUUCUGCUACGUCUGUUUCAAAAAAGGAGAAACCAAACAACACCAAUAGGCCUGUGAGCCCAGAAGCCUCCCAGGGUGGGGGUGGGGGCGGCGGAGGGAGACCCCCGAGCAGCAGCCUGAGCCUCCUUAGAAGACGGGAGGGGGGAAGCCACUGCCAGGGGGAGGGGCCAAGGUGUGGGGACACGCAGCCUGGGGAGGGGGGCCCAUCCAGGCCUCGCCAUCUGUUGAAGGAGGAAGGGGGAGAAGCCAGCCCAGCCCCGGUCUCUGUAGAAGAGCGCCCCCCCCGCUGCCCCAAGAUCUAGGCACACCGCGUCCGUGCUUGGAGCAAACUGGCCACACGUUGCUGGGUCCUGCCCUCAGGGGCCACCCUGAGCCCGCCCAGCCCGGGAGGCCCCAGCCCCAGGUGUCCCCCUGGCCCCCCGGCCCUCAAGGCUGGGCCCCGAGCCUGGCCUCACCACCUGUGGCUCCAUGCUCCCCGCAACGCCCGCCCCGCAGCGCCCUCGCUUCCAGAUGGCCUCUGGAUCUCUUCUCCGUGAAAGCGUCCAUCCAGCCUGUGUGGCUGCCACUGCAGCCUGCCACCAUCUCAUGCCAGCUCCCGAAUGUCACCCAUCGCUCAGAUGAGGGAGCUGGGCCGUUUGCUGAGACGUGCAGAGCUGUGGACAGAGCUGGGUCCAAGUUCUGGUCUUCGCGGCCCAAAGCUGCAGCCGUCACCUGGAUGGGGUCCUGCCCCAAAGGUGCUGUCACAGGGACCCCCUGGCACCCUGCCCUCGAGCCCCAGAGACACUUCUCAAUUCAGCUCAGCCAGAAGACAGCUCCCCACCAGCAAAGCCGCCGGCUCUCGGGGCGGCAGGUGGCCAGUCUGGGGUCAGACUCUGUUCAAAGCUCCAGGCAAACCUCCAUCCAUCACUGGCCACACCCGCCUGGGGGAUGCACGGAGCCUGUGUGCCUGCCGUCAGCCAGCUCCAGGGUUCUCAGCCAGACGGGGUGCAGCAGGGCCCAGACCAGCAUCUUGAGCCAAAAGAACCUGGAAUCGAGGAGAAAGUGGUUUUCUUAAAGAGCCCAUAAGGCUCUGGAACCCGAAGAGCUUUUCCCUGGAGUUUCGGCCUAGGAGAAAGGACGAGAAGCGCUGGCUGGAUUCCACCAACUCAGCCACCACCAAGGGCAAAGCCCCUUCCCUGAGAAGAAAACCCGGCAGGGCUGAGUGUCAGCAGCAUGCCAGGGGUUCCGGUUCCGCAGACAGGACGAGCCACCGAGGAUGGAGAGGUCUUCCUGCCCCCACCCGUCCUGACCAGGGUGUGAGCGGUGCUACCUGGCGGCAGCGAGGCCCACCUUCCCUGGAGCAUCCAAACCCCGGGACACAGAGGGGCCGCCUUCUUGAUGGCGGUGGAACGGAGAGCCCAGGUCUGUCGAGCUUCCAGGUAAACCGGCCUGGAAAGACAUCAAACUGCAGGCGCGCAAAGUACACGCUUCCUGCGGGCGUUAAACGGGCACCUCCCAUGGGCGCAUGGCCUCUCCUUGGCACGGGGCAUGACUGCCCUGCCAUGGCAGGAGAGCGGCACCAUUGAGCAGCUGGUCCACGGUCACACGACAGGAAGGGAAGGGCCCCCCGGAGCCAAGGCCCUUUAAUUCUGGGAUCUGCGCCUUUCUUUACGCUGAUGGAACUUUGAAAGGAAUGACUCUGAACAUCUCUGGGGCCAUGAAAUAAAGGGGGGGGGGUCCGGUGAACCCCAGAAAAGCAGAACAAAGCAGAGGACCCCGAGGACUUAAGGUGGAGUCAGAGGCGUGGCCAUGGCGGGGAGGCUCUUUCACGUGCCUUAUGUCCAGCAAGACGUGUCAGUUCUCCAAGCAGCCAAGCCCCUGUGAGGUUCAAGCCUGGAAGCAGGGUGGGGCAGCAGGAAGUGGCUUCCAGCAAAGGGGGGGGGCCUGGGGGCGGGGGGCUCGUGCAGGACGCCAGCCCGCGCUCCCCUUCCGGAGCCCACGUUACUGUGGGUGGGGGAGGUUGCUCGGGGGGGGGGCAGCUUUAUAUUUAGGCAGGGUAGGUGGCCGCCUACACUGUGAUGUCACAGGCUCUGGGGGCCUCUUCCAAACCCCAAAAUACCUUCUCCACCUGCUUCCUGGCGCCGGCACGCUCUCUGAGUUAGAAAGGAAGCUGGCUGGCUCCUUCGUGGCAGAGCUGACAGGGGUUCAAGCCAGCCCUCCAUCGAGGAGCAGGUGUGCACAGAUCCUCAGGCUGGAAAGGCACCCAGGCCUGGGCCAGGACGGCCUUGCAGCGUCCCCUGUGCUGCCUCUGCACCUCCUGGAGAACCCCUGGGUGCUAAAGGCGGUUGUGUCUUCACGUACCCCAAGCCCUGCCCAGAGCUGGGCUCUCGGCCAAAUGCCUGGGAUGUCACAGGCAAGUUGCACCUGUCUCUGUCCAGAAGAAGCAGCAGAUGAAGUGAGAGUCUCACACGUAAGCCACUGUGCAUUGUGACAUGUCCAGAGAGAGAAAUGUACCAUGGGUCACAAGGCACACAGCAGAGUGCCCCGAUUUUGUUUGGUUAGUUGGAGAAGGGCAUGUUAGCUGAGGUUUUGGGGGUAAAUAGGAGUUUUCUAGGUAGCAAGUGGGGACGAAGUCUCCAUGCAGAGGGAUGGCUGGAGAGAGGAAGGAGCCGGCCUGUUAAAGGACCUCACUUUAGGGGUCAGGGGUCCAGAGAGGGAAGGGAAAGUCGGAGAGAGGAAGCCGAGAGGCGGACAGGCGGCAGCUUCUUGCUGAAGUCCGUGCACUCACAGCAGCAUCUCACUGAUGCCUGGGCCACUGUUAGGCACGCAGCUCGGGCUCCCCCUGCCCAGGCUCACAUCGCCAGGGGACGAUGAGGUGAGUCGUGUGCGUAUUAGCGUUUGGGAUGUCCUGCCCCAUGGUUGGAUGGAGGACGCGGCUUUGCCCCAGCUUGUGGGCCAGUGUGCUGAGCAGUCAUGUGCUCGAGAUUUAGAAAGUGGGUUUUUUUUUCUUUCCUUCUGACAAUAAAUAGCUUCAGAUCAUCAGGAAAAAAAAUGUUCAAGGCAGCAUAAAAAUUCAUUCAUUCAGACCCAAUUAUUUGAGAAUCUAGAAAAGAAAGGUUCUGAGCACCUGUCUGAUGAACAAAUUUGCA
rnacentral:lncRNA from 1 species